CACACCGCCCGUCGCUACUACCGAUUGAAUGGCUCAGUGAGGCGUCCGGACUGGCCUAGAGGAGUCGGCAACGACACCUCAGGGCCGGAAAGUUCUCCAAACUCGGUCAUUUAGAGGAAGUAAAAGUCGUAACAAGGUCUCCGUUGGUGAACCAGCGGAGGGAUCAUUAAUGAGUUAUAAACUCCUAAAACCCAAUGUGAACUUACCAUUUUGUUGCCUCGGCAGGUUGUGCUUUUACCCUGUAGCAGCUACCCUGUAGGACCUACCCUGGACCUACCCUGUAGUACCUACCCGGCAAGCACGCUAAACGGCCUGCCGGUGGCCCUUUAAACUCUUGUUAGUUACUGUGGAAUUCUGAAUAUAUAAAACAUAAUAAGUUAAAACUUUCAACAACGGAUCUCUUGGUUCUGGCAUCGAUGAAGAACGCAGCGAAAUGCGAUAAGUAAUGUGAAUUGCAGAAUUCAGUGAAUCAUCGAAUCUUUGAACGCACAUUGCGCCCAUUAGUAUUCUAGUGGGCAUGCCUGUUCGAGCGUCAUUUCGACCCUUAAGCCCUUGUUGCUUAGUGUUGGGACUCUACGAUUAUAACGUAGUUCCUUAAAGUCAGUUGGCGGAGUUAGGGUAUACUCUCAGCGUAGUAAAAUUUUUCCUCGCUUUUGUAGUUAUUCUAGCUAUAGCCAUUAAACCCAUUAAUUUUUUUUCUAAAGGUUGACCUCGGAUCAGGUAGGAAUACCCGCUGAACUUAAGCAUAUCAAUAAGCGGAGGAAAAGAAACCAACAGGGAUUGCCUUAGUAACGGCGAGUGAAGCGGCAACAGCUCAAAUUUGAAAUCUGGCCUUCGGGUCCGAGUUGUAAUUUGUAGAGGAUGCUUUUGGUGCGGUGCCUUCCAAGUUCCCUGGAACGGGACGCCUUAGAGGGUGAGAGCCCCGUACGGUUGGACACCUAGCCUCUGUAAAGCUCCUUCGACGAGUCGAGUAGUUUGGGAAUGCUGCUCUAAAUGGGAGGUAAACUUCUUCUAAAGCUAAAUACCGGCCAGAGACCGAUAGCGCACAAGUAGAGUGAUCGAAAGAUGAAAAGCACUUUGAAAAGAGGGUUAAAUAGCACGUGAAAUUGUUGAAAGGGAAGCGUUUGCGACCAGACUUUCUCUAGGCGGAUCAUCCGGUGUUCUCACCGGUGCACUUCGUCUAGUUUAGGCCAGCAUCGGUUUCUGCAGGGGGAUAAAGGCCUGGGGAAUGUAGCUCCUUCGGGAGUGUUAUAGCCCCUCGCGUAAUACCUUUGCGGGGACCGAGGACCGCGCUUCGGCAAGGAUGCUGGCAUAAUGGUCGUCAACGACCCGUCUUGAAACACGGACCAAGGAGUCGAACAUUUGUGCGAGUGUUUGGGUGUUAAACCCUCACGCGUAAUGAAAGUGAACGGAGGUGAGAGCCCUUACGGGUGCAUCAUCGACCGAUCCUGAUGUCUUCGGAUGGAUUUGAGUAAGAGCAUAACUGUUCGGACCCGAAAGAUGGUGAACUAUGCGUGGAUAGGGUGAAGCCAGAGGAAACUCUGGUGGAGGCUCGCAGCGGUUCUGACGUGCAAAUCGAUCGUCAAAUCUGCGCAUGGGGGCGAAAGACUAAUCGAACC
rnacentral:rRNA from 1 species